UACGUAGGUGGCAAGCGUUGUCCGGAUUUACUGGGCGUAAAGAGCGCGCAGGCGGUCGUUCAAGUCGAGUGUGAAAGCCCCCGGCUCAACUGGGGAGGGUCACGCGAUACUGAUCGACUCGAAGGCAGGAGAGGGUAGUGGAAUUCCCGGUGUAGUGGUGAAAUGCGUAGAUAUCGGGAGGAACACCAGUGGCGAAGGCGCUGUCCUGGACGGUGAUUGACGCUGAGGCGCGAAAGCGUGGGGAGCAAACAGG
rnacentral:rRNA from 1 species